GCGUUUGUGGUUUAGUGGUAAAAUCCAUCGUUGCCAGCUUCCUCUCCUUCAGGAGUCAGAAGUCAGAAUCGAUGGGCCCCGGGUUCGAUUCCCGGCGAACGCA